rnacentral:misc_RNA from 1 species
GAUGAAGAACGCAGCGAAAUGCGAUAAGUAAUGUGAAUUGCAGAAUUCAGUGAAUCAUCGAAUCUUUGAACGCACCUUGCGCCCUUUGGCCAUUCCGAAGGGCAUGCCUGUUUGAGUAUCAUGAACACCUCAACUCUUCAUGGUUUUCCAUGAUGAGCUUGGACUUUGGGGGUCUUGCUGGCCUGUGGGUCGGCUCCUCUCAAAUGAAUCAGCUUGCCGGUUUUUGGUGGGCAUCACAGGUGUGAUAACUAUCUACGCUUGUGGUUUUCCACCAGGGUAACCUUCAGCAGUGGAGGUUCACUGGAGCUUACAAAUGUCUCUCCUCCGUGAGGACAGCCCUUUGAAUGUUUGAUCUCAAAUCAGGUAGGACUACCCGCUGAACUUAAGCAUAUCAAUAAGCGGAGGA